rnacentral:rRNA from 1 species
CGUGUAGGCGGGAUUGCAAGUCAGAUGUGAAAUGUCGGGGCUUAACUCCGAAGCUGCAUCUGAAACUGCAGUUCUUGAGUGCUGGAGAGGAAAGCGGAAUUCCUAGUGUAGCGGUGAAAUGCGUAGAUAUUAGGAGGAACACCAGUGGCGAAGGCGGCUUUCUGGACAGUAACUGACGCUGAGGCGCGAAAGCGUGGGGAGCAAACAG